CCGGGCCGCGCCGGCGCUGCCGGGGCUACGGCCGCCGCCCUUUCCUCGUCCCCGUUCUGACGGGAAGACGCUGGGGCGGUGCGGAGGCGGUGUAAAGCCGGACGGGCGCCGACUGACGCCAGAGCGGGUGGUCCCGGCGAGGGCGGGCGGCAGGAGCAGUGGCUGCUCUACUGCAGCUAUGGCUAUGUGGAACUGGCCGGGAGUAGCAAAGGGUUGGGAAGUCCCGACCAAAUGAGGAGGCUGGAAGAAGAACCCUGCCCCGCGUCCCCCGGCAGAACUGCCCUCAUCGGGCCCCUCCGGAGCCUGUUCAGAGGCUUUGCCCACGGCUCCGACCUUUGGAACAAGUGGGUGUCGCCACUCUGGCAGGCUCAGCGGAACCCGGGUUGCCAGUCCCGUCAGCUCAGGGCCGGGCUGGAGCAGGGACUGCUGCCCGCCAGCCGUGGUAGGAAUGAGACCAAAAUGGCAUCUGAAGGAAGUAAAUAGCUAUAGAAAUCCCAAAUCUCCUGCUCAGUGUGGAACAUGGAUGCUAUGGAUGCUGCUCCAAAGACCCCUGAAGUCUGUUGAAAUACAGUGUACUCUGACAGGCUGAGAUGAGAUACUAUAAUGGAAGCUCAGCUCCAUGUCACUGACCACCAAGAUCCAACUUCUGCCUCAAAAUUAAUCCUUGGGUUUGCUCUAAGCCCAGUUCCUGUACUAGCCACUAUCUCUCUACACAGACUUCACCAAAUGCAUCUGCCUAACUCACCUUCUUCAUGGUGGUCCCAAGUAGUGAUGUUGGAAGAAUUCAGAUUGAGAUUACAAGUGGAAGUGACAAACCUGUCCUCAUCUUGCAGAGUCUUUCACGGAUGUGCUGGGAUCAUAUUAGAAGCAGAAGAGGAAGAGGGAUGAAGGCAUCUGAUACGGGAAGCUUUUGUUAAAGAACCAAAAAUUUGAGGAACAGUGGACCUAUUGAGUGGAAAUGGACUUCUGGUGGUCCUUGCCUGGCUUCUGCAGAGAACUGAAACCACUAGGUAUAAUUUCUGUCUUCAGAAACUGAAGUGAACAAAUCAUCUGAAGUAGCAGCAAACACUCACAUCACUAGGGCUGUCUGUAGACACAAAUCUAGUGGUGAAGCAUGAAUCCUUGUACAGAUCACGAGGAGAAGGGGAGGUCUUGGUUCCAUGAGUCUGGAUACCAGCUACCAGCAUGACCAUAGAGAAUUUUUUCCUUAUUGUAGGUUCACUAUUUGUUCAGGCUGUGCAUGGAAGUGUAAAAUAAAGAUUUAGUUUAUUUGACCUAACAAUUUUUUUUUAACCUUAUAAGAUCUCCAUAAGAUUGACAUUAUCCCGCAGUAGUGUCACAGUUGGCAGUCAUUUAAUGCCUCAUCUUGUGAGGUCAGGAUUCCACGCCCAACUGCAUUUAGCAGGUCAGUACAGUAAUUUUAAGUGUCUUCCUUUGAGAUUUGUGCCAUCUUCAAUUAUACCUUUCCACCCUACUAUUUGUGUAAUUUUCUUCUGUCUGAAGACUCUUUACUGUUGUUCUCUAUUGCACAGCAUGACAAAUUACCCAUUAAACCAAAUCUUUUCAGCUCAUAAAUGCAUGGUAACAGAGAGUCAUGGCAUUAUCACAUGUUGCGUAUUUUAUUUCUUCACAGGUCAUUCAAGGGUGUCACUUUAUUUUCAUGCUUCUUUUUGUCAUCACAUGAAGAUUAACAAUUCUAGUGUUCUAACUUUAGGAAAAGUUAGACAUACAUAAUAAACUCAGAGCAGUACAUAUACAUUUCUGCCUCACUCAUGACUUCCCUUGCAUGGCAAAAUCAUAUCAAUAAUUUUGAGUCCCUGAAGAAGCCAAAAUAAGGCUUUCAUCCUUAUUAUACAGCUGAAUAACCUGGGUGUGGGCAAGAGCAUUAUUUGCAGCCUCAGGCCAUCAACCAAAUCAACUGUGAUUCACCGCUCACUUUGACCGUGUGCACUAGGUUCUCUUGGGAGUUAUGAAACUCUCUGGGUCUGAUGCAUGCUGUGUCCACAAUCUGUCCUCUCCUCCCCUCUUUCUCUUUAAUUCAAGAUAAACACUGGUAAUUGUAAUAUUUGUGCUGAGAUACCUCCCAGGCAUUGCAAAGAUCUAUUAGAAAAAUGAACUGCUGCAGCUAAGAGUGUUGGCAGCUAAUAUAUAUAUAUAUAUAUAUAAAAGAGUUCUUUAGAAAUUGGGAUUAAGAAGACACAGGGAAAUUUUGCUGUUGACAGCAUCAUCCAGAGCCCUCAUUAACAUUAAAGAGGGACAGUUUGACAUGGGUAGGGUAGUUCAUGAGCUCAUAGAUUCUGCAGCAUUUGUGCUCAGCCUGAAUAGAACUGCAGGAGCAAACAUGGAACUGUCCUCAUAACCUGUCUCAGAUGUGAGAUAGGAUCCCUGUUCUUCUUUUCAAGGUAUUUUAUGGGUCACUAGGAAGAAUGAUUGAUUUAAAGAGAGAAAACCCCUGCUUCUGUAAGACAAACCAGAGGAAUUAGCACUUUGGGUAAUCAGAAAGACCACUUAGGAUGAAAUUUGACUGGAAAUAACUUCAUAUGCUUUCAUGUAAGUAUUAUUGUAGUUAAUAAAAGGCUGCUAUUUUUAUUUAAUACCAUUAAUUUUAUUAUUUAUUUAAGUAAUGCUUGCUCCUAGAAAAGCAUGAAAGAAGGAUACAAUAAGCUGAAAGUGUCAUAGUGCCAAGAAUCCCAAGAUCCAUUUGCAGACUCGUGUUGAGGGUUCAGUAACUUCAAGAGUGGCAGACACUGAGAGACUGGCCUUGAGAGGUGAUGGAAGAGCCAGAAUUCCCAAUAGCUAAUAUAGGUCCAGAUUUGGCUCCACCUCACCCUCUGCAGCAUUUUACUAUGCACUUUGCAGCAUUUACCUAUUCUUUGCCUAUUCUGAGUCUUACAUGUUGGGAUUUUUAAAAUUCCAGGUAUCAGUUACCACCAUGAAUAACGUAAUUAUGUUUAGUUUUUUCAAGCAAAUCUUUGCAAAUUCAAUGGGAAGAUUAGUAUAGAAAUAAAAAGACAUGCAGCAUUUAGAAUAAGCCUGACUUGUGAACCAAAGGUAAAAUAUUUUACUUUGUUUUUGCAACUUUUCAUGAAAUAUCUUGAAAUUUAUGUAAGAGGGAGUGGAAAUCUCUGGAUGUUGCAGUUAAUUUAUCUUCUAAUGUCUUUUAAUCCAUUUGCUUUAGAGUGUCAGGCGGAAAAUACAGCUCUAGUAUGUUUCUCUAUGCAUCUCUUUGACAUAAAUUUGUUGCUGCAGCUGAUAAUUGUUGCUGCAAUUGUAAGAAUUAUAUAAGCUUUGUCACAGAAAUCACAUUGUAAAAGGUUCCAAAAAACUUGACAAUGUUGACAGUUGUUUUCAGCAAAUGGCUGCUUUACCGUAGCACUGUCAAUGUUGAUGUCCUUGUGUACAUUUAAAAGAGCAAUGUGAUUAAGGCAAGCUUGUCCAUGCUAGAUAUGAGCCAAGUUUUCAAUCUCCUCAUGGCACUGAAAGAUUGCUCAGCUGUUGCAGACAAGCAAGAAUAGCUGGCAGAUUUCUGCCAUUAAAAUAAAAAAAUCCUUGUCUUUGGGCAUGCAUCUAUAGGAAUGUGUAACAUCUGCUACUGACCUUAAGUUCUAGAUAAGAACAGCUUGUAUUUGUAACUCAAAUUCAUAUACCUUGGUUUAGACGAUGCACUUCCAAGGAUAUUACCGAAGUAUUUUUUAAGAAGAUAUUUGUCUAGACAGGAGUCUAAAAAAUGAUGUACUUCAAUUCAUGAUGUGCUUCUGUUAAUUGUUACAGUAGUGAAAGGCCAUUCUUCCCCUAGUGUCACUUUCACUGCAACUUAUGUCCACCUUAUGUUGCAUUGAAAUAAUCUAUAUUGAAUUCUAUUCUGAGAAUAUUUCUUAUUUAUACAUGAAAAUCGAUGCUGGUGUUCUAUCUAGAACACCAGUCAUCUUUUCCGUAUAUUUUUUCACUCUUAAUUAGAUGAAAAGAGUACAAAACUCAUUUCUUUAACCUUUGUCAAGGGAAAUGGGCCUGAUUCAACACAGUCAUGUAUUCCAUCCUAUUGACCCUGAAUUCCUUAUGUAAGACCUUAAAGCCAUGGGAUGUAGAAGACUUGUUGCUGUGCCUGGGUGUAGAAAUAGUGGGAAGAAAUCCACUUCAACAGCAUGAUCUCAUAAGAAACCUGGUGUGAUUUUCUCAUACAAAUUAAUGUAGACUUUCUUAGUCCAAACAUACUCAUAUUCCACUUUAUAUCUAUUAAAAACCCUUAAAAAAAAGGAUUCUGGAUUUCUGACAAUACCCUGAGAGAGAGAAAGGCAUUGAUUUCAGGUUGACUCAGGGUGACCAGUUCAAGUUUUCCCAGACACUCAGAGUGAUGCUCUGCACAUCAUGGACUAUGUAGAUAAGUCUAUGACUCAGGGAGGUAAUAUGGAAAAAAGUUGUGAAGCUUUCUAUAAAUACUUUUUUUUCUUGACAAGCUUGUAGAGUGAAAGUGUGUGGUACUGAAGGGCAGCACUGGAUAGUGUAGCAUUUGAUAGUGUCUAAUGGCAAAACUAUCUUUCCUCUUCUUGCAACCCAGCAACACAUUCACUGUUUUUCAACAAAAUUCUGGGGAAAAAAAUGCCUCGGACAAAAGUCUUCUUCAAAAAAUAAGCUCAACUCAAGCCCAGAAAAUAGUCUGCUCUCUAAACAGAAUGAGACUGAACUCUGAUACGGACAGAAGUUGAUGACAAGGUAUUUGAAGAGACAUAAUACAUCCAACGAAGGGAGGAAGGAGAUAGUUUAAAGAUGCACUCCUCAUCUUAAUUCUAAUAUUUCCCCGUGUUUUAAGACUUGAUGCUUUAAUGUAAACAUUUUUGUUAAAAAAAUCUUGUUAUGGUAAAUCAUGGGCAGCAUCACCUGUACCUCCUGUAAUUAUCAUGUUUCAAAUGAAAUAACACCAAGUGUAACAAGAAGAGCUUUCCUCUUAAGAGAAACAAAUAUCAGUUUAGCAUUUUGCAUUGUUAGGUUAAAGGGAUGUGGUGCAGGAAACGCCACAUUGCAGGAAGAUGUAUUAAUUUUUACACAGCCUGUGAAAUUUAGGGUGACAAUACAAUUUUCUUCUCCUACUGUUUUGGAUAAAUAUUUGUAACUCAAUAGUCUGAGCUCAGAGAGCAGCAGUUUAGCUCAUAUUUCAUUUUCAGGCUCUGUGGCUGAAAACCUAAAUCUCAUAAAUGAAGGGCUGUAAUUAUCAGCUAGUAAAUCUCUCUCUCUCAGCAGUUAUUAUGUAAAGUCAAUUAGAGUGAAGAAUUUUCAGUCUGGACUUAUUACUAAAGGAAAUCUUUCAUGCAGAAUUGAUGAAAUGGGAGAGCUUCUCCCUGUACCCCAUCUGCUCCCUGCUUUUUGUGUCCCUUCACUACAGCUGCAGUCAUUACCAGGCUGACUCCACUUUGAAAAGCUAAAGCCACAUUCUUCAGAACAGUUGCUUGGUGUUGGUCAGAUUUCUCUGUAGACUUUUUUUUUCCAUUGGAGACAUAGAGGCUGACACAUACUUUCCAAGGACUAAGGACUUUGCAUGUCUUCUGUCUCCAGAACUGUCUCUUGAAUUCCAAAUAUUUCUCAAGUGGCUAGCAAAAGAGUAUCCAGGUAAUUUUCAGCCUAGUGGGACAAGCUUUGAGUUGAAAGCCAGACAGCUGUGAAAAUGGAUUGUAAAGUAAUUAUUUCAUUUUAUGUUAUCUUCUUGUCCUUAAUACAUGUGUGCUUUCAUUGCUACAGUUAGAGCAUUCACAAGAUCUGAAGAGACUAUGAAAUCCCGCUAACUCUAGCAAUCUUUGUUUCUUAGACUGUAAAUGAUAAUCAUGAUUCAUGUAAAAUGAUUCAUGUAAAAAAGCAAUAAUACAACUUGAAAAACAUAAAAGAUGAGCAAUAAACUAAACCAAAAGAGCUUGUUAUCUUUCCCAAAACAACACUUUUUAAUUUCUGACCUAGGUUUAUUUUUUCCCUUCCUUUUAGCAUCCCUUACAUUAUAUACUAAAAACAAAUGCUUUCAAGGGUCAAACUUUACCUUCAAAAUUACUGCCUUUCAUAUCCUUUAUUUUCCUUUCAGGCAUCUAAAAAACAAAAGUCAACAUAACACUGAAUAAUUUGAAAAGUUAACAUAAUUUUUUUAAUGGAAAGUCUAAGUAAAUGUAAUUAAAAUAACAUUUAAACAUGUUUUUUUCCUUCAAUUCUCAACUAAAUAUUUUAAAGAACUGAAGUUUCAGACAAAUAAUUUUUUUUUCUUUCUUUUCCUAACAAGACAAAGAGGAAAAAAAGACCAGCUUCAAGGGACAGGACAUGAACCCAUCAGGGUUCACUGUCCCCUUUCCAGCAAAAUGAAUAAGCUGGCCUCACAACCUUGUUUUGUUCUCUCUCCAAAACUUGCCUAGAUACCACUGGAAAGAUGAGGGCUGAAGAUUGACACACAACAACUGUACGUACAAACAUACAAGUUGAUAUUUAAGGCCCUUAUUCUGUAUGCAGGCCUGUCCAGACACAGCUCCCCUCCAGACCUCUGCUCAACUACAGUCAGUCUGCAUUUUUUUUUCUCUUCAUUUUCAGUAUUAUCAUGGACUUUAAUUUUCUGAAUACUCAAGGCUGACUGGUUAGAAGACAAAACACUGAUAACACUCGAUAAUGAAGAAACUCUGUGCUAAGAAGAAAAGGAAAUAUUUAUUUUCUGGCCAUAGCUGAACUAAAAGACAAAACGUUCAAGAAUUUCUUACAACAACUGAUAAGGGAAAUUUCCCUUUGAUUUUCUGCUUUCUGUACAUUGAAUAAACCAUGUUUCCCAAA